GACGUAGGGCGCGAGCGUUGUCCGGAUUUACUGGGCGUAAAGAGCUCGUAGGCGGCUUGUUGCGUCGACCGUGAAAACCCGGGGCUCAACUUCGGGCUUGCGGUCGAUACGGGCGGGCUAGAGUUCGGUAGGGGAGACUGGAAUUCCUGGUGUAGCGGUGAAAUGCGCAGAUAUCAGGAGGAACACCGGUGGCGAAGGCGGGUCUCUGGGCCGAUACUGACGCUGAGGAGCGAAAGCGUGGGGAGCGAACAGG
rnacentral:rRNA from 1 species